CAGGACAGGUACAGCACAGGCAGUGACAGUGCGAGCUUUCCCCACACCUCAACCCUGUGCCUCAACCCUG
rnacentral:sRNA from 1 species